UCGAGUGUGUAUGAAAUACCAGUGAAAAAGCUGUCUCAUUUCUGAGUGAGAACAGAAAUGGCGACCAUCACUGCUUGCACCGCGGCCUCUUCAGUAGCCCGUGUUGCUCUCGUGCACAAUGGUUCUGUAUCUCGCCCCUCCUCUGUUCUUGGUAUGUUGAUUUUUCACAUAUCGCUCUUAAUCUUGAUAAUAAGAGUUUAACUGCUACAAAAGGGAAAGUUUCUUUUUGUUUAAGCUUUCUAGCUAGGAUUCAGCAACUAAUUUAUGAAAAGAGUUUUAGUAUAACUGGCAGGGGCCGAGCUAGGUGGACGGAAGGGUUCAGUCGAGCCCUUUUCGUCCGAAAAUUACAUUAUAUAUAUAAUUUCCUUAGCUUAUUCGCGUAUUAAAAAUCAUGCUCUGCCACUAAUAACUGGUGUAAGCUAUAUACGUAUGAUACUGCUGAUAGAGUUGAGCGAAAUUAUUAUCAAGGAUCAGUAAGAAAUCUCAAAAUGGUAUUUGAUGUAUAUAUAUACUUUAUUGCGCAUUCUCAAAAGGUUAAUGUGUAGAACUAGUCUCGUACCAUUUGGUCAUUCUCCUGAUUUUGAAUGGGAAGCGUAUGAAAUCAAAGAUUGAGUGUGUUAGUUGACUCAAAAUGAGUAUAUAUAAUUUUAUCAUAUGUAUACAUAUUAAAUUCCUAUUUUUAAGGUAUACAGUCACACAGAGUUUUGAGCCAGGAUUUCAAAUUUAUGGAUUCGAGAUUAUAAUCGUUUAAGCUAUUGGAUUCUAAAUUAUAACUUAUAUAUAUUCAAUAAAUUUUUAAGAUAAAUAUAAGGUUUGAACUAAAGCUAUUGGGUUUGGCUGAACCCUCUCGGGGCAGUACUCUAGCUCCGCUCUUGCAGUCAGAGCUCUCUAUAACAACCAUCAUCUAUAACAACACUUUACUAUGAUGGUCAAUUUUCUUUGGAACCAAUUUUCCAUAUUAUGUUAUAAUAUAUGUUUUCUAUAGUAGCACUUCACUAUAUCAAUCAAAAAGGCAACGGAAAAAACGAGAUUGUUAUAAAAAGGUUUAACUGUACAUAGCUCGAGUCAAAAAGUUUAUUAACUGAACUAACAAAUUACAUCCUAAAUGUAACAAACAACAACAACAACAUACCUAAUAUAAUCCCACAAGUGGAGUAUGAGACAUCUAUAUAACAACCGGCUCAUAAUUUCACAGGGUUGCCAGCCAUGAGCAAGAAUAUGGGAAAGGUAAAAUGUUCAAUGGAAGGAAAAUCAACAGGGCAAGAGAGUGAGGCAAAGUUAGGAAUGGGUACAUCUUUAAUGGCAGCAGCAUGUGCAGCAACAAUGUCAAGU
rnacentral:lncRNA from 1 species